UACGUAGGGUGCAAGCGUUGUCCGGAAUUAUUGGGCGUAAAGAGCUCGUAGGCGGUCUGUCGCGUCCGCUGUGAAAAUCCAGGGCUCAACCCUGGACCUGCAGUGGGUACGGGCAGACUAGAGUGCGGUAGGGGAGAUCGGAAUUCCUGGUGUAGCGGUGAAAUGCGCAGAUAUCAGGAGGAACACCGGUGGCGAAGGCGGAUCUCUGGGCCGUAACUGACGCUGGAGGCGCGAAAGCCAGGGGAGCGAACGGGA
rnacentral:rRNA from 1 species